rnacentral:tRNA from 2 species
UUCCUCGAUAGCUCAGUUGGUAGAGCACGCGGCUGUUAACCGCGCUGUCGUAGGUUCGAGUCCUACUCGGGGAGU